rnacentral:lncRNA from 1 species
CUAUUGUCACCGAUCCGGAAGUUCCCGAGUCGCCGGUUUCCGCCGGAAAAGGUUCCGUCCGGUCCAGACGGGUCUGUCCCUCUUUUCUAUCUUUAUUUUCGGUUUGGAAUCGUUCAACUGAUCCGGUACAGAUCCGGACCGGUGCCGAAGAUACACCGUAAUCUGCUGUCCGGUUUUGUCAGUAGGUGCAGGGUCUCGAUGCAGAUGCUGCGGGUGAAAUGAAUAAGGCCCCUCAGCCUCUGUCAGGACCCCCGUCCGCCCCACCCCACCCCUCUGUCCCGCUGCCAGCGCCCUCUCCAGGCCUGAGCCAGCCUAGUUUUCCUCCUGGUCCUCCAGUGGUGUUCGGGACUCCUCCACCACAGAUGAACCCCACAGCUCCUCCCCGACAGUUUGCCUCAGGUCCUAGAGCUUUACCACAACAGGUACUAACACACACACACUAUCUUACACACACACACACACACACACACACAAUCACAAGUACACACACAGACUCAAACAAGUUUUGAAUUUAUACUGCAUUAUCUAUUUCAACCACUAGGUGUCCUUCCUAGAAUAUAGAGUAUGUUUCUGCUAGAAAUGCUUGUUUGUUUGCAUGCAUCUGUGUUCCUCUAACUGUCUGUGCGGUGGGUAACACACACUCUUCAUCUCUCUUGCUCUUCUGCUGUGUGUGUGUGUGUGUGUGUGUGUGUGUGUGUGUGUGUGUGUGCGUGUGUGCGUGCGUUUGGUGCUGCUGAAGGGAGGAUUCAGGUCACUGCAGGUAACACUCAAUGGUUUUUUUUCACCUUUGCAAAUGUGCAUCAAAGUAAAACCCAAUAAAUAUUUGUAAUAAUCCAUGUUAGGCUUAUUAAUAAUUCUGUGCAUGAGGAGCAAUAUUUGACUAAAAUAUUGGUGUUAUUGUUAUUUAAAUUGGUAAAAUAUAAAAAAAAAUUACUUUACUUUUUUUUUAUUUAAAUAACAAUAAUAUUUAAAUGGGUAAAAUAUUGUUAAAAAUCACUUUACCAAAAAAACAUCAAAGCCACUGUCAUAACAGUGCAAAAGAAUAGAUAAUUCAAGUUAUGAGAGAUACUAAUGUCCCUGUUUGGAUUUGUGUUUGAAUGAAUCUGAAUGAAUCAAUCGAUUCAGUGAUUCAUUCAUGAAGACUUGCAGACUGCGUCCCAAAUCGCCUACUACUCAGUAGGUGCUGCAUUUGAAUUUAUACGUACUACUCAACCAUUAGAAAAGUACGUUCUAUACAGUAUGAAUGUCAGUAGUAUGGAUGGAACUCGGACAUACUACAUUCUCCAUUUUGCCAUUAUCGCGUGACCUACCCGCGUCAGUUGCCUCGCUUCAUUCCUAUUUAUGAAUUCAGCGUAGCAUCCAUCUAAUGCGCAGUUCAGAAAUUCGCCGAAAGUAGUAACUCAUCCAGGUGCUUCUUACAUACUGUUUUUCGAAUUCUAUGAAUUCGGACAUACUACGCGGCUCACAUACUAUAUAGUAUGAAAGUGUGCGAUUUCAGAUACAGCUUCAGUUGUGUUGUCAAAUCAGUUGUGUUGAACACAUCAUGCAUGAUUGGCGCCACCUAGUUUAAAAACAAGUUCAGAAUUUAGUAGUUACGUUUUUCUUCGUAUUCUAGUUUUUUUUUUCGUUUCACUAAUUAAAAUAGGGCAUCCCAUGGCUUCACCUGUUUCAUCUUGAAUGAAUCUGAUUCUGAAUGAAUCAUUUGAGUCAGUGAUUCAUUCAUGAAGACUCUCGGUUGGUUAUUUCUAAAGGAAUCAGCUGUUUUGAUCACAUCAUGCAAGAUUUGAGACGCCUACUUGCGGUUUUAAUGUCAUGUUUAUGCCAGUAAAACUAGGCGUCACACACCGGAUGCACGGCUCAGUGUCGUGACAUGGUGCGCAGCUGACAGUUGGAAGUAUCGGACACCAGACGUGCACAUACACAUGUUAUUAAAAAUGAAACUGUUCCGAUGGCACUCUGUGGUGCGGCAGAAAUAUGAACAGUGUCAUGAGUCGUAGCUGGGUGCUGUGGAUUGCCACUGACUCGCGGCGCCGGUGUGUGUACCCUGAUAGGAAUCUAUGUUUAGAAUUUUAAAAUGCAUGGCUAAAUCAAUAUCAGACAAACAAGUGUCGUUUCCUAAAUAUCUGCACUGUCACAGAUGUGAUUUUGAUUUUAUACAAGUUUCACAACCAGAAUUGAGUAGUUACGUUUUCUCUUUGUAUUUUCUGGGUGUUUUUUUGUUUCACUAACUAAAAUUGUGCAUCCCAUAGCUUCACCUGUUUCAUCUUGAAUGAAUCUGAUUCUGAAUGAAUCAUUUGAGUCAGUGAUGGUUACAUUUUUUUCAGCGUAUUUUCUGUAUAUUUUUAUUUCGCUGAUUAAAAUAGUUGAAAGUUGGAGCAGAACGUUUGUGCAACUCAGAGCUUAACCAGUCCUGAACGAAUCUGAUUCUGAAGUAAUCAUUUGAGUCGGUGAUUCGUUCAUGAUGAAACUCGGUUGGUAAAUUUCUAAAUAAAUCAGUCAUUUUGAACACAUCCUGCAAGAUUUGCAUCACCUGCUAGCAGUUUUAUUGUCAUGUUUAUAGCAAUGACACAGUCGGUAUUACAGACGCAAAAGUGCCAUUUUCGUAAAUAUCAGCACUGUCAAAAAUAUGUUUUUGAUGUGGCUUAUACAAGAUUCACAAACAAGUACAAUUUCUUUUUUUAUCAUAUUUUCCGUAAUUUUUUGAUGGAGAACUUUUGUGCAUCUCAGAGCAACAGCUGUUUCAUUUUGAACUGAAUGAAUCAUUUGAGUCAGAUUCAUUCAUAAAGAUGCACAACAGCUUAAAGGUUUUUUUCCUACAUAUAUAUAUAUAUAUAUAUAUAUAUA